CCACCCUCCCCUCCCCUUCUGCCACCAGCACGACCCAGAUCACAUUAGAGUCCCAGAGCACAGGGAACAGUUCUCGUCUAUCCGUCACCAAGGAGGCAGACGGGACAGGGGGAACAACAAGUCAUUUGUACCUGAUGAGGAGGACACUCCUGGGAAACAAACAGAUGAGCCACCCCAUGAAUCUGAGCCAUUCUCCGAGGUAAACAGAACUGCAUGAGAAACCACCAACUAUCUCCAGCAUCGCCCUUCCCUCGCUCCCUGCCCUCUGGCAGCCAGGUGGGGGACAUGAAACUGUAGCUUGGACCAAUAUCUGAUUCUGAGAAAGUUAACCCUCGCAAAGAAUGGUACAGGAUCUAUUUGCCAGAACAAUUUUUUUGAAGACCCAGGCUCUCAUCAUUUCAAGACAAGGGGUCCCUGGAUCAAAAUAGAACCAAAAGUUUCAUUUGGCAUCAAUCAACCUUAUCAGCAGAGUCCAGGGAUUAUCAGCAGAGACCGGGGCUUUUAUCAAGACACAGAGCACAAGUAAAUCCUAUAAUCUAAAUUUGCAACAUUUAUGACCUGGAAAGCAGCCCCAGGGGACCUCUUAGCUUAUCAGGAGAAAGCUACAUGAAGAGUUUAAACAAGAAAACCCUUUGGUUUUGAAGUAAUUUAAGAACUACAAAGAAGAUGUGAAAACAGUAUGGAUUCCAUAUAACCAUCACCCAGCUUCCACCAAUGAUAUUGUGCACAACCAUAGUAGAAAGUCGAAACCAGAAAAUUAACACUGGUCCGAUUCUAUUAACUUAGAUACAAAACUUAUUUGAAUGUUUAUGGAGGAUCUUUUCUAAUCUUGAAGUUGGGAGCUAAUUGGGAUCAUAUCUUGGUUCCAUUAAUCAGGCAAAUGAGACAAACUUACAGAUUAGUAUAUAAAGCUCUAAUUUAUAUAAUUAUUUUCCUUUUCAAAUAAUUUUAGAAUUUAAGAAGCUGUUAGUUUCUACCUACCUAGAAGUCUGGUCUACGCAUUCUGAAAAAGCAAAACACAAAGCCCUUCACAGUUCUAAAGAAAUGCAGAUAUGAGAAUCCCUGAUUUUAACCUCUAAGCUCAAGGCCCAUAUUUCCCUGAGAAAUGAAUUCCUCCUUUUCCUGUUAGUUCUGGAUAUUGCUGUGCAUUAGUGUUGAAAGGGAAAUAAAGCUGAGGCAGGCCCGAAAUUCAGCAAGCACUUAGACUCCAGCUAGAGGAGGACUACGACAGAGAGGAGCCAUCCACAUGCCUAGGGAGGGCCUGAAGGUCCUGUGAGAGACAUCCUUACUUGUGCUCCUUCAGCCUUUGCAAGUGCAGAAGCCACCUGCAGCCGGGCUGGUCACACACAGAAGGGCACAUACCACCUGUUCCUCACCCAGGCGGUAUUCUCCUUGCCGCAAAGCCUCCCGACUCACCACUUCUUCCAGUUCUGAAUGUGACAAAUUCGCAUCAAGUGAAAUUUGUUAAUUUGACGUAACAAAAAGAUAUGCAAAAGCGUUCUUUAAAAAAACAUCUAAAAAUACUAACACAAAGUCAGCUAUAAGUGAGGUACUGUCAUUUUUUCUGUUUCAUUAACUGAACGCUUCUGUUUUCCUCUUUUGUGUAACCCCACCCUGCAGGGUGGUCCACUUGAACUAAUGAAAUAUGGCUUUAAGUGUAUCAGGGUGGAGAUGACUCAUGCUCCAUAAUUAGAGUGCCUUGGGACUGAAAAACAGAGCUUUUGGUUUCAGGGCCAUCCAGG
rnacentral:lncRNA from 10 species